rnacentral:lncRNA from 1 species
CUGCGGCUGAAAAGUUGCUCACCGGAAAAGACACGGAGUUCGCCGGAGUUGAAGGAGGAUGGCGAUGAUGUCGACGUAGGGUUCGAUGGGGUCGUGGAAGACGUCGAGGCGGACAUCGUGACGCGGCUUGCACGGUCAUAGCAUCUCCGGAUGGCGACGGGCCAAGCUCCGGGCGCGGCGUCGGCAUGGUGUCGGGGACGGCGCGGCCAACGAAGGAGAUGGAUCGCAUAACCUUGUCACGGAGGUAGGAGAUGGUCACGUGAGUCUACCGGUGAAAAGAAUUUAAAAAUGGACCUUCGGAGAGAACUCACUGGCAACAAUGGUCGAGGCGACGGGCGGAGAAAUACGUCGACGUAGCCGGCUGUACAGAGGUUUUGAGGCCAAACUUUCUACAUGAGAUUGGGAGAGGAGAGACAAAGGCCAAAAGUGACGCGCGUGGAAUCCUUUUAUAUUGGCCGAGGAGGGAGAUCGGGCGUGGAUGUCGACAGGCGGCAUUCGGGGCGCCUCUUUUGGAAACUGCGAUUAUGAGAGGAAACUUCAAAUUGAUUGCCUGAAUUGGUUCCUGGGAUGGUGAGGAUUGAUGGGGUGGUUUCUUUUCGGAGAGAGACGCGCAGGAAGGAAAGAAAUCGAAGGAAGAAAAUAUCGAAGGAGUGGUUUCCUUUACGUGCAGAGGAGGAAGAACACGAGCUCGUGCUGGUGCUAGCUGGCUGGGCUGAGGCGCUCGGUGGAGAUGGGCCGGCCCAGUUUGGGUCGGUCCAUCCCUUUUUUUUCUUUUCUUUUUUUUUCUUUUUUUAUUAGUAACUUUUGAUUCCUAACUCCAAAUAAGUUCAAAUAAACUCCAGUAAAUUUGUAAAUUCAAAUCUUCCAAAGUGUGAACUUUUGGGACUUGAAUCCUCUCAAAAUAAAAUAAGUAAAAAAAUACUUUUACUUAUAUAAAUGUCAUUAGGGCUUUAUAAAUAAUACAUAAAAUAGGUUUUGAAAUCUAUUAUGAAACCUUUGUUUCAUAAAUUAGUUUAAACUCCAAUAAACAUAUUGGGUUGCCAUACUUUGCACUAAAACCCUUUCUUAGCUAAAUACCCCAAAUAGCUUUAUAACAUCAAAUCACAAACCAUGUAAAUCAUCGCAGAUGUUUCAACCUAUUUAUAUAUUUGGGAAGUCACGUUAUCCCACUCUCAAUGACGGAAUAAAUGUUGG